GGGAUAGGUAGAUAGUUGCAGGAGGUGUAUGGGGAUGGAUGGAUGGCUAGAUACAGAUAGGUUGAUAAAUUUAAUGGAUGGAGGAGAUACCAGCAGAAUUUUUCACACUAGGUUAUUUUGCAAACGGCUUCUCUCUGUGGACUUGCUCACUGGGGACCAAUAUUUUGGAUUUAAAGCCAUUUUGGCUGGGAGACGACACCAGCGGCUGCUGCUUGUGGCUUGUGGAUUUCAGCAAUUCUUGGUGCCAUGACUUGGAUCCACAGCAUACCACCGGACUGGAGGACUGUUCCCCACUGAACCCGGGCACCAUCUGAAAGGUGUAUUCACUCACAGGUACAAAGUGCUCUGCCUGAACCAGCUGACGCGCUGUGCCACCCACUGCAGCCUGGAGAUUGGGUUUACAUUAAGGUACACCAGAGAAAGACUUCUGUGCAGCCUCACUGCAAAGGCCUCUACCAGCUCCUGUUGACCACCCACACAGUGGUCAAAUGCAAGGGACUUGUCAGCUGGAUCCACACCUCCCACUGCAAACAGAUAAUGCCACCUCUGAACUCAGACGCUAAAGAAUUCCAUCCGGCAGACCCCGCUCUAGGAAGCAGCCAGGGUGAUAGCAACAGUGAUCUCUCUCCAGGCCCUGAAAAGGAACCUAGAUAUAACCUCAGGAAACAAAAAUAGACCGCAGCACCCCGAUCCAUCAGUCCAUGGGCAAUCGGAGCCACCAUAAUCUCCUGUACGCUGCUUUUACAGCCAGCUGACGCUUCGGCCUGCUGGAAAAGGGACAAUAAGAGACACAAGGCCAGAAUAACGCCUUUAAAAGCCCAGUGGAGAGCCUAGCGCCCACUGGCACCCAGCUGCCAUGGCUGACCCCACAGCCAGAAUAAAAGAAACAGCCGUGGUGCAAAAAUGGCUCGUGCCCUCAAUUUGGUUCAUGUGUGUAGCUAUGCUCUUGCUGUUAUUGUUAAACUUCCAUGAUACCUUUAUGUUCUUUUGGAUGCCCAAGACCACCAUCAAAGGAAAAGAUCCCUUGAGAUCACUGGACCAGGAUCUGGGUAGUGUGCUAGCAACCUCUCCCCAGUAUAAUGCUAAACCACGACUGUUCCAACAGAGAAGAAGGAACACUCACGCUGCUGAAGCCCCCAAAGUCCAGAAAUUCCUAACAACAAGGGACAUUGAAAAUUGGCCCUGGUGGAAAAAACGAAGUAUUAUACAUUGGCAGGGAGGGAGUUGCGGGAUGUAUUCUUGGGAAUGUGGAGUUAAGUGGUGGGGUGGGUUUAUUCCAGAGGCUGCAAACUGUGUUUAUGGACAAGUACCAUCAGAAUGUACUGCCCUCCCUAAUUGGCUUCCGGAGGAUGAAUACCAAAACAGGCCUGGCAGGCACAAAUAUUAACCCCACCAUCUCCGCCACCUCUGCCAACAUCCCUGAAAUGUACCCAAUUACAGAUAAUACGGUAUAUUCUACCGAAAUCCAUUGGCCCAGAUCUUCACGUCUUCGUAAUUUACUAAAAUUUUGUUCAGAAAAAUUAUUUUCAUAGUCUAAAAUAAAGCAUAUGAAUGAGCAACUGAAUGGAAAACAAAUGGGUUGGUGGAAAUAGAAAUAUAUAUCACAUCAUUACAUAUGAGCCCCAGAAAUCAGAAGUUAAAAUCGAGGGGUUCUAUGAAGGGGUAGAUAUGAUGGCUGUUCCCGGAAUUUGCAGUAUGGAUGAAAGAGGCCCUUAUUGUUAUUUUGUCAUGCAAUUAGUAAAUAAUCAAACAUAUACCCAAAGGUUUGUUCUGCCAUGGGAGAUUUUACCUGUAUUGAAAUAAUUCCAAUAACUACUGUAAUAACUUAACCUGCACAACAUUGCAAUAUACCCCUUCCUAUGCUAUUAAUGUCAAUGCUUCUCAAAAGUACAUAGAAGUGUAUAGACAACAGAUGUGGUAUAGUACUUGACCAAAAAGGGACGUGUUAGGAUAUUGUAAGGGAAAAUCCAGUGGCAUCCAAACCUUAUCAGCCCAAGUCUCAUGUCAAACUGCCAAGGUCAUCUCGCUUAAAUGUACAAAGGAGUGGCACAGAGGAGACAGUGAAAAAUACCCAACAGUCCCCUAGCAAAAGCAAUUUUGCAAUAUCCUUUACAGUCGCCGUUUAACUGCAAAAGGACAGACAGUAAAUAACAGGAAAGGCCUAAUAUGGGAAAAAGUUUGCUCCAAUCUAUAUCGAUUAUGUAAUAUUUUUAGUAAGGAAAUAACAAGGAAAUGUGUGCAACUUUGUGUAACUAGUUUGUGGGUUUAAGCUUUAUAAGCCUGUCUGUAACCAGCUUCAGGGAGGUUGUUUCCCAUAGCGAUCCUCCCCUGCGUGCUUGUAAUCAAUAAAGAGCCUCAGACUGAUCUGAUUGAAAGACAAAAUGUGCGGAUUGAAUUUUCCACAACAGUAUAGAUGGACCCUGAUUAAUACUACGCUAGGAACUAUAAAUUUCACACUGCCCUUGUCCAGCUUCCAAGUCACCUCCACAUACCCUAAUUGCUGAGAGGGGCUGCCCUUAGGUUAGCGCAGCAAAGGGCCUAGGUUUCCUCUAGGGAAAAGAGGGACGUGACCGGACACUUGUGGGAUGGUGCCAACAGCGCAGAUGCUAUUUGAAAUAUUUAUAAAGGCCAACAACAUGAAGAAAAAGGAGGACAAUUGGAAAAGGCCACAGGUCUUAUUACUGGAGCCCAAUUAAUUCAGGUGCAGGCUGGAGUUGGCGAAUUGCGUGUUAUAACCCAGAAACUGCUCACAACACUGGUGCUAAAUAUCACUGAGGCUGGGAAGGCAUUGCAGUGGGAUCUGGCAUGUUCAGAAAUUCAAGAUUUCCUAAAUGACCAGCUGAUAGCCAUUCAAAGUGAUCUUGAGCAUCAGGCUUGGCCCACUGCCCUUAUAGAUACUUCAGGAGUAUCAUCUGAUCUAUGGACCUGGAGACAUACUUGGAGAUUUUCUGGGUGGAAGGUCAGACACUUGCAAUGCUCCUUCCAAGCUUAUGGACCCAUAAAAGGGGUGUGGACUCCCACAUUCUGAAUCCUGCUGGGUCUGUGGGGAGGAUGCAUGUGGGAUUGGAUAAUUCACUGAGACAUUUGGGAAAUUAAAAUACCUGGUGGGCCUAAUGGAUUUAUAGUCAGUGCUCCUGGAAUAACACCCGAUAUUUGGGUGGGGAUAGGGAGCCAAUGGACACUCUGGCUGUUAGAACCCCACAGCUCCAGUGUAUAUGCAAACUGAGGCCAGGAGAAGUCGUCACUGUUCACAACCACCCUAGUGGGACACCUGCUUUUCCAUGCAAAUAAUAGCUGGGUGUAUGUUACAGCCACCAUUUUGUAAGAUUUACAUUUUAAUCUCACCACUGUUGCUGGCAGUAAUAUUAUUUAUUGGCCUGCGGACAAACAUUUGCAAACAGCCCUUAAGUUUCAGAUACCUUUCAGUUGGACUGCCUUAUACCUGAUCAGUUCCAAAGUUUGCUUUCACUCCUCCCAGAGAUCCAGAAAAUCUCUGAAUUGCAAGGGCAAAUUCAUAUGCUCCAAAACAGAUACGGAAUUGAAGAGAAUGCUUUUCAUACAGCUUAUAGAAUGUCUACUUUAUGCCCUAAGUAUGAUGUAUUGUGUUCUGUGACUAAGGCUGUACAACCCCAUCAUAUUAUUCCAGUGGGAAUGCUAAUGCGUUUAUUGUUAUUGUUUAGCCUAAGGUUAUGUUAUUGCUGUUGUAAAAACCGUAAUAAUAAUGGCACCUUCCAUGUUCAUACUGACCAUGCAUUGUCAUUGCCUUCAACCAAAACCCCAAAGGCUAUACCACUUAAUUUAGAAUCAGAGAUACAGAAUUUAAUGAAUAUGCAAGUUUAGGCCAAGGUGGUGCCAAAAAGGCGCAAAAGGAAGGAUUGUAGAGGCAAAAUUAAGUAGGCCUGAACUUUGGUCAAGACAACUGUGUAUGUGGUCAGUGGACAGGUGGGGGGAGCGAGGAAAAUUACUAACAAGACACAAUUGCAACAGCCAGUAUUGCUUAAUGUAACUGCAACAGGUAGUGUUAGGAAAGCUGUUAAGCACAAAAGAACAACUUGUGAAUAACAGGAAAAGCUUGUUUUCGCUGUAUUCCUAAUAAGGGGAAAUGUUACCAAGGAGUAUGUGUAACUAAAUGUGGUUUUGAUCUCUAUAAGCUUGUGUGUUCCCUUUCUCGGGGGAGCUGCCAGACUGGUGGUCUCCCCCUGCAUCCCUGCAAUAAAGGGGCCUCAGGCUGUUCUGAUCCAAACACAACGCGUGGUCAUUUUUCCACAACACUGCUAACUUGCCUGGCCAGGCUGCAGAUGCUCCACCCCUGGUUUUUGUAUGAGUUCCUGCAUUGCUCUGUGUCACUGGAGCAGUAAUAGGUGGCGGUGUCCACAGCUGUCUGUGAGCGCAGCUGCAGAGAGAGCGCGUUUUUAGAUGUGUCUCUGGAGAAGCUCAGGUGGCUCUGGAGAGACAGGGUGUAGCCUGUGCCCCUGGUAGUGCCUAUAUACCCGAGCCACUCUAAGCCUUUGCCAGGAGGCUGCCGGACACAGUGCCAGCCUGUGAUAGUGAUGGAGAACCUGGAGACAGCACA